rnacentral:rRNA from 1 species
UACGGGGGGGGCAAGCGUUGUUCGGAAUUACUGGGCGUAAAGGGCUCGUAGGUGGCCAACUAAGUCAGACGUGAAAUCCCCAGGCUCAACUUGGGAACUGCGUCUGAUACUGGAUGGCUUGAAUUCGGGAGAGGGAUGCAGAAUUCCAGGUGUAGCGGUGAAAUGCGUAGAUAUCUGGAGGAACACCGGUGGCGAAGGCGGCAUCCUGGACCGGCAUUGACGCUGAGGAGCGAAAGCCAGGGGAGCAAACGGG